rnacentral:rRNA from 1 species
CACUGUCACUCCUACGGGGAGGCAGCAGUGGGGAAUAUUGCACAAUGGGCGCAAAGCCUGAUGCAGCCAUGCCGCGUGUAUGAAGAAGGCUUCGGGUUGUAAAGUACUUUCAGUCGUGAGGAAGGCGGCGUCGUUAAUAGCGGCGUUGUUUGACGUUAGCGACAGAAGAAAGCACCGGCUAACUCCGUGCCAGCAGCCGCGGUAAUACGGAGGGUGCGAGCGUUAAUCGGAAUUACUGGGCGUAAAGCGCAUGCAGGUGGUUUGUUAAGUCAGAUGUGAAAGACCCGGGGCUCAACCUCGGAAUUGCAUUUGUAAACUAGGCAGACUAGAGUACUGUAGAGGGGGGUAGGAAUUUCAGGUGUAGCGGUGAAAUGCGUAGAGAUCUGAAGGAAUACCGGUGGCGAAGGCGGCCCCCUCGGACAGAUACUGACACUCAGAUGCGAAAGCGUGGGGAGCAAACAGGAUUAGAUACCCUGGUAG